AGUAAGUUGUUAAAUUUUGGGCCCAGGAAAGUGAAGUUAUUCGUAUAAUGAAGAAUUGAGCUCUUGCCAUUGAACUUGGACCCUUGGUACAGGGAUGACAGGGAGAAUUGUCAGAUUUCCAGGCGUCCUUUGCCCGCUUGAUAAGUAUUACAAGACCUGAAGGCCAUGGUAGAGAGCAGCCAAGGAUGAGACAUGAAGCAAACGGCCAGGGUAGAAAGGAGGAAGCCCUGUUGUCCUUUUUGAUGUCCCAAGUAGGAAGCAGUCUGUGGUGAGUCACCGCUGCCUGAUCACUUAUGAGGAGGUGAGGACCCCAGGGGAGGGCAGGGGGCCUGUUCAGAGAUCUACAUGGAUCCACUUUGGACAUCAGUCAGCCUCCACCAGACACUGACCAGAGUAACGGUUCCAGCAGGCAGCCCUAAGCAUGCCACUCCUUCCCUGGUCCUGAGGCCCUGCUGAGCCCUCCAGCCAGCCCCACAUCUCUCUCCUGGGCCCUCCUCACUCUGCUCCCUCUUCACUGCUGUGCUUGUCUGGAUGCCACACACUGUCACCUGCCUUCCUGCUUUUGUCCACACAUUGUCUCCUGCUUGGUAGGCCCUUGCUGUCCUGUCCAGCUGGCAGAACAUACCCAUCCUUCACAUGGCUGCACAAGCUAUGUUUCUUUCGUGUUGCUCUCCUGAACACUUGCAAGUCUAACUUUGAGCCCAGCAGUUUCCAGGGCUGACAGUUGCCUGCUGCUCUCAAUACCUCUGCCCCCUGCAUCUCACUUGUUUUUCUCCAUCACUGGAUGUCAGGGACCUGAAUUUAUGCACUUUAUAGCCACAUCCUUGGUGUAAGGCAUGCUGCCUAGUCAACACUCAAAAACAAAACAAAGCAAAAGCAAAAGCAAAAACAAAAACAAAAAACAACAACCUAAAAAUUAUCAACCGAGAAAAUUAGGAGAAACUAAAAAGGAACAAAGGCCUUUAUUUGGGAUCCCAGAAUUGCUGUUUGAGGAGCACAGUUUCUAGGAUAACCAGGAAAGUGUCUGGUUCACAUAGGGCAUUUUAUGAGAGAGAAGGAAGGAGUCAUUAUAUGAUUCAGAUAAAGAAAUGGAAAAACAACAACAAAAAAAACCCCUGUGAAUUUGGUGUUGAGCGGCUGAGCCACUUCUGAUUAAUCUUAUUGAUUAUUUUACCAGUGCUAUCAAAUGAAACUGUCCCUGGUAUGCAUUAAUUAACUUUACUGUCCCCUUAUGGUUCGAUUGCCAGUUGCCCUGUUGAAAUUUUAUGAGCAACUGUCUUGCAAGACAAUUGCUACUUCUGGCCCGUUUCGAGAGUUCAUCAGUUGGGAAAGAAAACGGAGCUUCAAAUGGAGUCUCUUAUGUUCAGACAUUUCCUACAAUUCCACAGAAUGAAUGCAUGCCCCUUCCAUGCUGUCCCUCUGUGUCCCUGGGCUGCAGGUAACUACUCAAGGAUGCCAAGAGUUGCUAAAUCUUUAGUCCAGUUCCUCACUUUAGAUAUAAGGAAACCAAGACCCAGAGGGAGGAAGGACUUGCCCAAGGUCACACUGCUGGUGACAGAGUUCAGACUAGAGCCCAAGGUCACACCGUUGGUGACAAGAGUUUACACUGGAGUCCAAGGUCACACAGUCAGUGACAGAGUUCACACUGGAAUCCAGAUAUCCUGUCUCCCUAUCUGGUGCCCCUUUCCCUUUACCAUGCUUCGUGGAGUGGCUUCUCCCUUGGGGACAUGGCAAUUUUAUGCUUAGUCAUCGGACCUUGUGGAAUGCAUAGGUUGUCCUCAAGGGGACAGAGGGGCCCUCUGAGGAAGACCUCCUGCUAAUGAUGGAGGAGGAAGGAAGUAUGAAGUCAUAAGAAUUGCCACAAUCCCUGGUUUCCACAAGUGAAACCUGGGGAGGCUGAGCCCUGCCCUAGAGCAGUGUUUUGAGGGUAGGCAAUGGGCAUGUGGGAGGUGCAGGCAAGACCUUUCCUAACCUACCACAUGACCUUUCCAGGCUCAUCUUCCCUGCACCAGCCCUGACAGCUCAUGCUCCAGCCACAUCUGGCGCCUCACCUGUCCUGGCCAUUCCCAUCCCCUUUACUCAGAGCACCUUUGCAUUCAGGCUAUUUCCUCAGCCUGAGCUAGCUUUUCCUCUCAAUCCAACAAUUGCAAGCCCAGCCCACCUUCUGGGUCCACCUCAAAGACCACUUGCUCUAAGUCCUCCCUGAUUCCCCUCCUUUCUGUGUCUCACACAGUUUGCGCACUCUCGUUAGGCAUGGCUUGGUAAUUUCUAUCUGGAUACAUGUCCCUCUUCUCUUUACCCUGUGGGCUUGAGGACAGAGAUCCUACUUGUUGAUAUGGUGUCCCUCAUAGCACUCAGUAAGCCUCAGGGGGAUAGCAGACGCUUCAUCUUCAUCAGGUCCGGGUCCGUGGUAAACAAGAAGUGAGGUUUCCUGGGACAGCCUCCAGGUCAAAGGUCCAGAUGGAAGGGGAACACUGCUGUUGCUUCCAAAAGCAGCAAUCAUCUGUUUUGCAGAGCUCACGCCCGGUCAGUUGCCCCCUCUCCUUGAUUCUCAUCUGACUAUUUUGGCCUCUCUCCUUGGCACACUUCCACCGUCCCCAGGCUGGGGCCCACCCUCUGCCUCUCUAGCAGCUGACCUGGCCUCUCCAGAUGUUUGUUUUGCCUGCAGGAUUGAGGAGUCUGAACAUUGCUUUUGCAACACAAGCCCCAGGUGGCUGUGUGACCUUGGCAGGCUACUUUACCCCUCUGAGCCUCGCAGUUCUUCACUGGUGAGGGUCACCUGACUCCCGGGGCUGCUGUGAAGUUCAGAUGAACGAAGGCAUGAGAUGGGCCAAGCACUGUGGUCUGAUACACAAGAGAACACGAGUGGAGAAGGGGAGAGGGAGAGAGACA